GACGUAGGAGGCGAGCGUUGUCCGGAUUCAUUGGGCGUAAAGAGCACGCAGGCGGUUUGGCAAGUCGGAUGUGAAAACCCGGAGCUCAACUCCGGACCUGCAUCCGAAACUGCCCGACUAGAGGUAGGUAGGGGAGAUCGGAAUUCCUGGUGUAGCGGUGAAAUGCGCAGAUAUCAGGAGGAACACCAAUAGCGAAGGCAGCUCGCUGGGACGUUACUGACACUAAGGCGCGAAAGCGUGGGGAGCGAACAGG
rnacentral:rRNA from 1 species